rnacentral:rRNA from 1 species
AAAUUGAAGAGUUUGAUCAUGGCUCAGAUUGAACGCUGGCGGCAGGCCUAACACAUGCAAGUCGAGCGGUAGCACAGAGAGCUUGCUCUCGGGUGACGAGCGGCGGACGGGUGAGUAAUGUCUGGGAAACUGCCUGAUGGAGGGGGAUAACUACUGGAAACGGUAGCUAAUACCGCAUAAYGUCGCAAGACCAAAGUGGGGGACCUUCGGGCCUCAUGCCAUCAGAUGUGCCCAGAUGGGAUUAGCUAGUAGGUGGGGUAACGGCUCACCUAGGCGACGAUCCCUAGCUGGUCUGAGAGGAUGACCAGCCACACUGGAACUGAGACACGGUCCAGACUCCUACGGGAGGCAGCAGUGGGGAAUAUUGCACAAUGGGCGCAAGCCUGAUGCAGCCAUGCCGCGUGUGUGAAGAAGGCCUUCGGGUUGUAAAGCACUUUCAGCGGGGAGGAAGGCGKURAGGUUAAUAACCUYRKCGAUUGACGUUACCCGCAGAAGAAGCACCGGCUAACUCCGUGCCAGCAGCCGCGGUAAUACGGAGGGUGCAAGCGUUAAUCGGAAUUACUGGGCGUAAAGCGCACGCAGGCGGUCUGUCAAGUCGGAUGUGAAAUCCCCGGGCUCAACCUGGGAACUGCAUUCGAAACUGGCAGGCUAGAGUCUUGUAGAGGGGGGUAGAAUUCCAGGUGUAGCGGUGAAAUGCGUAGAGAUCUGGAGGAAUACCGGUGGCGAAGGCGGCCCCCUGGACAAAGACUGACGCUCAGGUGCGAAAGCGUGGGGAGCAAACAGGAUUAGAUACCCUGGUAGUCCACGCCGUAAACGAUGUCGAUUUGGAGGUUGUGCCCUUGAGGCGUGGCUUCCGGAGCUAACGCGUUAAAUCGACCGCCUGGGGAGUACGGCCGCAAGGUUAAAACUCAAAUGAAUUGACGGGGGCCCGCACAAGCGGUGGAGCAUGUGGUUUAAUUCGAUGCAACGCGAAGAACCUUACCUGGUCUUGACAUCCACAGAACUUUCCAGAGAUGGAUUGGUGCCUUCGGGAACUGUGAGACAGGUGCUGCAUGGCUGUCGUCAGCUCGUGUUGUGAAAUGUUGGGUUAAGUCCCGCAACGAGCGCAACCCUUAUCCUUUGUUGCCAGCGGU